rnacentral:rRNA from 1 species
UACAGAGGAAUAGCCUUUAGAAAUGAAGAUUAAUGCCUCAUAGUAUUGUAGACUGGCAUCAGUUUAUAAUUAAAGAUUUAUCGGUAAAAGAUGGCUAUGCGUCCUAUUAGUUAGUUGGUAAGGUAACGGCUUACCAAGACAGCGAUAGGUAGGGGUCCUGAGAGGGAGAUCCCCCACACUGGUACUGAGACACGGACCAGACUCCUACGGGAGGCAGCAGUGAGGAAUAUUGGACAAUGGAGGAGACUCUGAUCCAGCCAUGCCGCGUGUAGGAAGAAUGCCCUAUGGGUUGUAAACUACUUUUAUACAGGAAGAAACACUGGUAUGUAUACCAGCUUGACGGUACUGUAAGAAUAAGGACCGG